rnacentral:rRNA from 1 species
CCUACGGGAGGCAGCAGUCGAGAAUCAUUCACAAUGGGGGAAACCCUGAUGGUGCGACGCCGCGUGGGGGAAUGAAGGUCUUCGGAUUGUAAACCCCUGUCAUGUGGGAGCAAAUUAAAAAGAUAGUACCACAAGAGGAAGAGACGGCUAACUCUGGGCCAGCAGCCGCGGUAAUCCAGAGGUCUCAAGCGUUGUUCGGAGUCACUGGGCGUAAAGCGUGCGUAGGCUGUUUCGUAAGUCGUGUGUGAAAGGCGCGGGCUCAACCCGCGGACGGCACAUGAUCCUGCGAGACUAGAGUAAUGUAGGGGGAACCGGAAUUCGCGGUGUAGCAGUGAAAUGCGUAGAUAUCGGGAGGAACACUCGUGGCGAAGGCGGGUUCCUGGACAUUAACUGACGCUGAGGCACGAAGGCCAGGGGAGCGAAAGGGAUUAGAUACCCCUGUAGUC